UGGGGAAUUUUGCACAAUGGGGGAAACCCUGAUGCAGCGACGCCGCGUGAUUUAGAAGGCCUUCGUGUUGUAAAAAUCUUUUCUAUGGGAAGAAAAUGACAGUACCAUAGGAAUAAGGACCGGCUAAUUACGUGCCAGCAGCCGCGGUAAUACGUAAGGUCCGAGCGUUGUCCGGAAUCAUUGGGCGUAAAGGGUACGUAGGCGGGUAAGCAAGUUAGAAGUGAAAUCCUAUAGCUCAACUAUAGUAAGCUUUUAAAACUGCUCAUCUUGAGGUAUGGAAGGGAAAGUGGAAUUCCUAGUGUAGCGGUGAAAUGCGCAGAUAUUAGGAGGAAUACCGGUGGCGAAGGCGACUUUCUGGCCAUAACCUGACGCUGAGGUACGAAAGCGUGGGUAGCAAACAG
rnacentral:rRNA from 1 species